GGGCAGGGCGGCUGCUUUAACAUGCAGUCGAACGGUAACAGGCCUUCGGGUGCUGACGAGUGGCGAACGGGUGAGUAAUGCAUCGGAACGUACCCAGAGGUGGGGGAUAACGCAGCGAAAGCUGUGCUAAUACCGCAUGUGAUCUGAGGAUGAAAGCGGGGGACCGAGCAGCAAUGUUUGGCCUCGCGCCUUUGGAGCGGCCGAUGUCGGAUUAGCUAGUUGGUGGGGUAAAGGCCUACCAAGGCGACGAUCCGUAGCUGGUCUGAGAGGACGACCAGCCACACUGGGACUGAGACACGGCCCAGACUCCUACGGGAGGCAGCAGUGGGGAAUUUUGGACAAUGGGCGCAAGCCUGAUCCAGCAAUGCCGCGUGCGGGAAGAAGGCCUUCGGGUUGUAAACCGCUUUUGGCAGGAACGAAACGGUGUCCGCUAAUACCGGGCGCUAAUGACGGUACCUGCAGAAUAAGCACCGGCUAACUACGUGCCAGCAGCCGCGGUAAUACGUAGGGUGCGAGCGUUAAUCGGAAUUACUGGGCGUAAAGCGUGCGCAGGCGGUUGU
rnacentral:rRNA from 1 species